UAUAUAUAUAUAGUAAUAAAUCUAGAGCGGACACAAUCGAUAUAUUUGCACCACUGGGAAAUAUAUAUUACUAAAUUGUGAAUAAGACUUGUGAAACUCUUGUAAACACUAACAAAUGCACGUAAGCUGUAAAUUUAUACAUCAAAUGGGUCCGCUUUAGACGAGCUAACAGAUGCAAUUUACAGAAGUGCGAUAUCUGUUUGAUGGUGAUAGCAGCUACAUGGACACUCCAGCCGCAUUUCUGCCGUCGCCGUGAGAUUCCGUAUGAAGUAUAAGGGCGAUAAAAUCGAGGGGGGGGGGGGGGGGGGGUACGCCGCGCAGUGUGUGCUGUGUGUGCGAGAAAGAGCCGGCGAUCGCAGCUAAAUCUCGCGCACGCAAGGGAGGGUAAGCGGGAAGGAAGCACGUUUCGCUGUGCUGUCGCGGCUUAGUUCGCGUUGAUGAGAGACGCAACACGAAGGUCAAUUCACUCGCUGCUGCAACCGCGCUUCCUCACUCCAGCGUUUUGACAGCGUGUGUGCGCGGUCGUCGAGUGAGAUGUGUUCAUGUUUGCUUGUACGCGCGCGUGACACCAUGCUAGUUCAUUUAGUUAGUAUGUCUGUGUUCGCAAGGUUAUAUGGCCGAUAAAAAAAAUACUAUUCUCACUUGCUAUCGCAAUCGAUGCUUCGCCUUUCGGGCGAAACUGCGACAUUUUGGUGCACAGCUAAAAACUUGAGCUUACUUAUUUUUUUAACUUACCAAUUUUCAGCGAUCUUUAUUUAAAAGAGUCCAGGCUCUAAAUCAAAAUUCCGCUUACUACAGUCACUAGACUUUAACUUUCUCUUACAAAUGCAACAUCUUUCGUUAACAUCGGUCCAGUGGUUAUCUCGGAAAAGCAUUUCUGCGUUUCACAUGUGUUCAAAUUGAUUGGUGGCAUCGGGGUUGAGGCCCGGGAUAAAGCUUCAUCUUAAUUAAGGAAAUACACUCUAAAAGUGACAUAUAUUAUCGUGGGACGAACAACACCCGCGAGUAUAUUUAAAAUAUUAAGGCGAAUGCUACAACAUUUGUCUUCUUUCUUUUUUCUUUCUUUUUUUCUUCUUAGGCGGGUCAAGAGCGCCGUAUGAGGGCGGGGUGUAAGUAAUGUAUAAUAAGCGGUGGUUUUUGCGUAGCACUGUUCGCGCAUUAUUAUGGUUGGUUCAGUGGACGUAGCCUGUAGUUACACGAAUCUUGUUCACACUGUGGCAUCGCCCAUUGUGCGGCGGUUUCUUGUACAUUGUUUAAAAAGAGAGAGAGAGAUGUACCCUCGUACCUGUCCUUAUUUCAUUUUAGUUUCGUGCUGCUGUCGUUUUAUUUUUCUAAUUAUAUACUUGUUGCUGUUGUCACCUGCGGUGCGCGUUUUUCUCCGGACAUUAUUGAUAAUAAUAAAGAAAUAUUGAACCUGUCAUC